ACGAACGGAAACGAAUCACGAAUUCGUUUUACGAAGACGGAACGCGCCACCGAGAUAACCAAUCGUCAUACUUUUACAAACGACCGUUCACAAGCAGAGGCCGCAAUAUACUGAACACAUGAUUCCAACGGGGGCUAGUGUCGCCGUAUAGCGUGAAGGUGGCGCCACCGAAGCGGCGCUUCGAUCGAGAUCGGCCACACAUGGAAUCUUCGAAAAGGUCGAGAACAAUUUUCGCUCUUCUCGUGGAAAUUACCGUGAAAUCGGCGUGAAUGUGAGUGCACAAAUACACGAUACGUGUCCCGGAAUUUCGUAACCUUCGAACAGAAAUCAAUGGUACUUCAAGCGUGUGAUGUCAAGCAACUAUCAAGGCUGCCAUAUAUCUUGAUUGAAUGCAGAUUAACGCCAAACGAACGGAUCUCGACCAUAAAGGAUAGAUCGAUGUGCUUCACGCUGUAAUUUAGCGACAACCCUACCGACUACUGGUAAUGCUAUUUCCAAACAACUUACAAUUAGUGACUAGGAUUAAGGAUCUAGGACUAAGGAUUAAUUCGUGGAAAUGAUACUCGACUAGUAAAUCGUUCAAAAAAUAUCGAUAAACGUUCUAUUUAAUCGAUUUCUCGUCGAUAUUUCGUUUCAAAGAGAUCCUUCUGCUCGAUUACUCAAUGAUUAUUCAACUGUUAAAAACGAAUAAAAAUUGUAAAUCUAGAAUAGAGAGAUAUUUGUGAAGUUUUUGUUAUAAAAAUAAUUGAAAAUAUUUUGAAAUUUGUCACAUUAAUCUACAAAUUCUUAGAAUUGAUUAUUCCUUGUACCAAUAUUAGAUGAAUUUAGAAAAUGGAAAUUGAUAACAUAUCAAUUUUUGAGAAAAAAAAAAUAAAAAAGAAAAAUAUCGAUGAAACAAAUUUUGUUUGAUAAUAAAUUUGAUGAUGGAAGAACGUUUAAGAGACGGGGGAAAGAUGGCGCCAC